rnacentral:rRNA from 1 species
CCUACGGGAGGCAGCAGUGAGGAAUAUUGGUCAAUGGACGAGAGUCUGAACCAGCCAAGUAGCGUGAAGGAUGACUGCCCUAUGGGUUGUAAACUUCUUUUAUAUGGGAAUAAAACGUUCCACGUGUGGGAUUUUGUAUGUACCAUAUGAAUAAGGAUCGGCUAACUCCGUGCCAGCAGCCGCGGUAAUACGGAGGAUCCGAGCGUUAUCCGGAUUUAUUGGGUUUAAAGGGAGCGUAGGUGGAUUGUUAAGUCAGUUGUGAAAGUUUGCGGCUCAACCGUAAAAUUGCAGUUGAAACUGGCAGUCUUGAGUACAGUAGAGGUGGGCGGAAUUCGUGGUGUAGCGGUGAAAUGCUUAGAUAUCACGAAGAACUCCGAUUGCGAAGGCAGUUCACUGAACUGCAACUGACACUGAGGCUCGAAAGUGUGGGUAUCAAACAGGAUUAGAUACCCCAGUAGUC